UGUUUUACCUGGAUGAGGCGCUAGCU
rnacentral:piRNA from 1 species